rnacentral:rRNA from 1 species
UACGUAGGGUGCGAGCGUUAAUCGGAGUUACUGGGCGUAAAGCGUGCGCAGGCGGUUUUGUAAGCCAGGUGUGAAAUCCCCGGGCUCAACCUGGGAAUGGCAUUUGGGACUGCAAGGCUGGAGUGCGGCAGAGGAGACUGGAAUUCCUGGUGUAGCAGUGAAAUGCGUAGAUAUCAGGAGGAAUACCGAUGGCGAAGGCAGGUCUCUGGGCUGACACUGACGCUCAUGCACGAAAGCGUGGGGAGCAACAGG